UACGGAAGGUGCAAGCGUUAUCCGGAAUCACUGGGUUUAAAGGGUGCGUAGGCUGUCUAAUCAGUCAGGGGUGAAAUGCGGUCGCUUAACGAUCGAACUGCCUCUGAUACUGUUAGACUUGAAAUAGGUUGAGGUUAGCGGAAUGUGACAUGUAACGGUGAAAUGUGUAGAUAUGUCAUAGAACACCAAUUGCGAAGGCAGCUGGCUAGACCUUAUUUGACGCUGAGGCACGAAAGCGUGGGGAGCGAACAGG
rnacentral:rRNA from 1 species